rnacentral:rRNA from 1 species
UACGGGGGGAGCAAGCGUUGUUCGGAUUUACUGGGCGUAAAGGGCGCGUAGGCGGCGUGACAAGUCACUUGUGAAAUCUCCGGGCUUAACUCGGAGCGGCCAAGUGAUACUGUCGUGCUAGAGUGCGGAAGGGGCUACUGGAAUUCUCGGUGUAGCGGUGAAAUGCGUAGAUAUCGAGAGGAACACCUGCGGCGAAGGCGGGUUGCUGGGCCGACACUGACGCUGAUGCGCGAAAGCCAGGGGAGCGAACGGG